CCAAUAGCGUCUAUUAAAGUUGUUGCAGUUAAAAAGCUCGUCGUUGAAUUUCGGGAUUGACGUAAUGGUCAUGCCUUAAGGGGUAUGAACUGUUACUGUUGAUUUCUCACCUUCUGGAGAAACUUGAUGUCCUUUAUUGGGUGUCUUGCGGAUCCAGGACCUUUACCUUGAAAAAAUUAGAGUGUUUAAAGCAGGCAUUUUUGCUCGAAUACAUUAGCAUGGAAUAAUAGAAUAGGACGGCAUGGUUCUAUUUUGUUGGUUUCUAGGAUCACCGUAAUGAUUAAUAGGGAUAGUUGGGGGCAUUAGUAUUCAAUUGUCAGAGGUGAAAUUCUUGGAUUUAUUGAAGACUAACUACUGCGAAAGCAUUUGCCAAGGAUGUUUUCAUUAAUCAAGAACGAAAGUUAGGGGAUCGAAGACGAUCAGAUACCGUCGUAGUCUUAACCAUAAACUAUGCCGACUAGGAAUCAGACGAUGUUAAUUUUUUAAUGACUCGUUUGGCACCUUACG
rnacentral:rRNA from 1 species